rnacentral:rRNA from 1 species
CCUACGGGGGACAGCAGUGGGGAAUAUUGCACAAUGGGCGCAAGCCUGAUGCAGCCAUGCCGCGUGUGUGAAGAAGGCCUUCGGGUUGUAAAGCACUUUCAGCGGGGAGGAAGGCGUUAAGGUUAAUAACCUUGGCGAUUGACGUUACCCGCAGAAGAAGCACCGGCUAACUCCGUGCCAGCAGCCGCGGUAAUACGGAGGGUGCAAGCGUUAAUCGGAAUUACUGGGCGUAAAGCGCACGCGGGCGGUCUGUCAAGUCGGAUGUGAAAUCCCCGGGCUCAACCUGGGAACUGCAUUCGAAACUGGCAGGCUAGAGUCUUGUAGAGGGGGGUAGAAUUCCAGGUGUAGCGGUGAAAUGCGUAGAGAUCUGGAGGAAUACCGGUGGCGAAGGCGGCCCCCUGGACAAAGACUGACGCUCAGGUGCGAAAGCGUGGGGAGCAAACAGGAUUAGAUACCCUAGUAGUC